UACAGAGGGGGCAAGCGUUGUUCGGAAUUACUGGGCGUAAAGGGCGCGUAGGCGGCCUUCUAAGUUCGGACGUGAAAUCCCUCGGCUUAACCGGGGAACUGCGUCCGAUACUGGAUGGCUUGAGUUCGGGAGAGGGAUGCGGAAUUCCAGGUGUAGCGGUGAAAUGACGUAGAUAUCUGGAGGAACACCGGUGGCGAAGGCGGCAUCCUGGACCGACACUGACGCUGAGGAGCGAAAGCCAGGGGAGCAAACGGG
rnacentral:rRNA from 1 species